rnacentral:rRNA from 1 species
UAAGUGGUGGAAAUUAAACCAAAUGGGAUUCCUUAAGUAAUUGCGAAUGAACAAGGACAUGCUUAGCUUGACAAUUGGAGCCUCUGGCUUCGACUUGUAUUUUUGAAAUGUAUUACCAACAGAGGUGCAGGUGUCAGCCUAUUGAAAGAAAGCGUCAAUGAGGGUGAGAAUCCUGUUUGUCAUGUGCAAUCCUCUGUGCACGGUGUAUGUUUGCUGAGUCACACUCCUUGGCAUUGGAAUGCAAAGUGGGUGGUAAGUUUCAUGUAAAGGUAAAUAUAGGAUUGAGACUGAUAGCACACAAGUACCAUGAGGGAAAUAUGAAAAGGACUUUGAAAAGAGAAUUAAAUGAGUUUGUAUUUGCUGAACAGAAAAUAAACAGAUUUGAUGUUGCUUGGUGAGAUUGUGGUGCUUGCUUGACAAUAGGUUUUGAUUGUGGGUGCGAUGAUUCUUGCUUUGCUUGCCAGUUUCUAUUUGUACAUUUGAUUACCCUUGCACAUGAAUGGUAAUUUUCCUGCGGGGUUUGGAUUGCAUGUGUUUGUGAUGAUUUGUGUUUUGAUUCAUGUGUCUGGUGCUUUUGUAAUUGCUCAUUUCUUGAAGCUGGGGCCUACCCUACUAGAGCUUACAAGCCCUGGCACACAAUUGCUGGCAAAAUGCUUCUGCUUGACCCG